rnacentral:tRNA from 1 species
GCGCAAGUAGCUCAAUGGUUAGAGCGUUAUCUUCCCAAGAUAAAGACGGUGGUUCGAUUCCAUCCUUGCGCU